AUGGAGUUAUUCCAGGUGCGCAUGUUGAAGGAAUUCGCGGAGAUACGCGCAGAGCAGAGCAAAUUGGCCAAGAUGGUGGAGAUCUGCGACCGAUUGGAGGCGCUGGAUGCGAAAUUGGAGGAGCAGUCUCAGUGCCUGGAUCAGGUGCAGGUGAAGGUAAACCUCUCCUGCGACACCUUGGGCAAGGUUCAGCAAGAGCAAGUUCAGUCGGCGAAGCACAGCGCUACGGCAGCAGUGUGGGGACCCCGACUCAUAAGUCGAGAUCGCCGAAUGCACGUGUACAGUGAUCCCAGAGAUCAAUGCUCACUGAACACACAGAAGCUGAAUAACAAGAGUCUUACAUCCAUACAUACCGUCUUACACAAAUUAUGA
rnacentral:rRNA from 1 species